CAGGCGAUUUUGAAGGUUUGGAAAACUUUAAUUUGGAAGACCUCCAUGAAUUGCGACAUGAAGAAAAGGAAGAAGUUAAAAAACAGAUUGAAGCCAUAUAUAUUGAGGCAACCUCUUUGGAGAAAAAAGCCAGAGAAUUGGCAUGUGAUACAAAUUCAAAACAGUAUAUUCUUCGCCACGCACAAACCUUAACAGAAAAAGCAAAUGAGAUGAAAGAAAAGAUAUGCUUAGCAUCAGGGAAAUCAUUCCAAACACCUGAUGAACUACAAAUUGCUAUAAAGCAAUCC